GUGUAGUUUAGUGGUAAAACUACAGCCUUCCAAGCUGUUGUCGCGAGUUCGAUUCUCGUCACCCG
rnacentral:tRNA from 3 species